rnacentral:rRNA from 1 species
GACGAACGCUGGCGGCGUGCUUAACACAUGCAAGUCGAACGAUGAAGCUAGAGCUUGCUCUGGUGGAUUAGUGGCGAACGGGUGAGUAACACGUGAGUAACCUGCCCCGAACUCUGGGAUAACUGCUGGAAACGGUAGCUAAUACCGGAUAUGACCAAUGAAGGCAUCUUCUGUUGGUGGAAAGAAUUUCGGUUCGGGAUGGACUCGCGGCCUAUCAGCUUGGUGGUGAGGUAACGGCUCACCAAGGCGACGACGGGUAGCCGGCCUGAGAGGGUGAUCGGCCACACUGGGACUGAGACACGGCCCAGACUCCUACGGGAGGCAGCAGUGGGGAAUAUUGCACAAUGGGCGCAAGCCUGAUGCAGCAACGCCGCGUGAGGGACGACGGCCUUCGGGUUAUAAACCUCUUUUAGUAGGGAAGAAGCGAAAGUGACGGUACCUGCAGAAAAAGCACCGGCUAACUACGUGCCAGCCGCCGCCGUAA